UGUUCCAUGUUGUAAUUACUUAAUGAGGUCCACCUGGCCUGGGAGGGAAGUGUUUAUAAAUGCACCUUCGCCAGCGUCUGAAGGAGAGGCUUCUGGGGUCCAUCAUGAAGCAGGUUCAACAACCUCUGAGUAUGAAUGUUAACUCUGAGUUGACAAACCCUGGGAUGAAAAUCUGUGAGUUUCCUGUUUCAACACAGCUGAUUAGCAUUAGUUCUGUCGACUCUGAGUAUGUUGACUCAAGCGCGUGCACCACGACUAUAAAAAAGCCCUCAUCAAUGGAGCCCCGAUUCCCUGAUUCACCACGGAGGCCAGAGGGGAAAGAAAGCGCUCAACAUAUUUUUCACCUCUGGAGCUGGAAAUCUUGAUGGAGGCUUGCGGUGAAUAUGAGCAUUUAUUCCGGAAAAAAAGUAACACGACAGCAGCGGCAAAAGAAAGAGAAAGUGCACGAGGGAAAAAAUCACUGCUCGAGUCAAUGUGUAAGUUCUGUGUUUAAUCACUCAUAAAAUAUUGUAUGUAAAAAAUGGUGUUGACCCUCUGCUCAUGUAGGUGCAACCCAGGAGGUGAAAAACAGACUUGGAGGCAGUUGAAAAUGAAAUAUAAAAAUCUAAUUCAGUCAGAAAGAGGGCGGAGGCCCCUAAAACGGGUGGAGGACCUGCACCACCACCUCUAACAGAGGCAGAGGAGAUGGCCCUGAGCCAAACUGCUGGAAGGCCAGUGGCUGAGGGAAUCCCAGGGGGCAGCUCAUCUGAGCCAGUCACCCCCAGGACACAAGUGUCUUCAUAACAUUAGACUCUGAGGGACGUCUCCACCUGUUGGAGCCUCAUGUAGCCCAACUCCAGCCUGUUGUAUGGAACUCAACACACCAAAACUCAUAACCAAUAGUGGUAUAAAGUUCACAGAAUAAAAUGGUUGUCUUCAAAGGA